rnacentral:lncRNA from 1 species
CCUGGUUUGGCUCAGCAUUUUUCAAAAUUGCUUUGGGCAGGAAACACGUGUCGUCUCCUGGUUGGCUGGUGACCUUGGGUAGUGGGAGCGUUACAUGAUCUGGGUCGUUGGUCGUGGUGGCCACCAACGAUAAAGAUGCGUUGACGGUUUCGAAAAUUUUACUAUAAAUAAGGGUUCGCAGCGCUAUCAUUUUCAUCUCUUGCUUCCCUCUCUUUCUUUCGUUCGGCUUGGUACUCUAUCAAGUAAUAAACGACCACCCUUUCACUGUCUUCUUCUAAUGGGUCUACAGGUAGAGACGGCGGGGCUUUGUCCGGCGGUAGCAGGGCGUUAAGCUUAGUGUCUUC